CCUCUUCAAACUCUCUAGGCUAAUUCUUUCUCCCACUCUUGGAAAAUCCAUCCACAUUUGAGUUCUCCAAUUGGUUCCUUCACGUACCUGUGAUCAUCUGACUUUUUCCCACUCUUCAAUCAUUCCCUCAACAUUACCUCUCUGUGGACCUGGACAUUAUCGGAAACUGUACCGACCUGAAAUCACAUUUUCAAAAAACAUUUCACUAGAUACAAGGAAGUAAUUUUCAUGUAACUCAGACCUGCACAUGGUACGAUAUUUUGCUACCUCCAACUGAAACCUGCAGACUCAAGGAAAAGUCCACCAAGGAGACACAUCAGGAAAUAGAUGGAAAGCAUGGAUUUACUGAUGGUAAUUUAAAUCUCUGGAGAUCAUUCAGUAUAAAUGGGAAGAAUGGAAACUUGAGAGAGAGAGAGA